CGGAAGACACUCGGCGGUCAGGCACCGCGUCUCUCUGAGGUGGUACCGUGUGGGCCCAUCAGCCCACCUCGCGCUUGCGUUCUCUUCUGUGGUGUAUCAGCACUGUUUACGAGGGAUGCGUGAUUUGAGAAUCUCCAUUUGGUCUUUGAGCCUGUCUGUUCUGUGACCCCUGGGAUAGCUUGGCUUGCAGUGUACUUGGAGGCCACCAUUGCAUCAAGGGAUAUAUUUUCAGAUGCCUAAGGCCAUAUACUGAGUAUGCUGGUGUGGACAUCGCUGAUGGGAAGGACAAUGUAAAUGAGAAUGAACAGAGAGAGACAGAGCAUGAACGGGG